AUUGAACGCUGGCGGCAGGCCUAACACAUGCAAGUCGAACGAGUGGCGGACGGGUGAGUAAUGUCUGGGAAACUGCCUGAUGGAGGGGGAUAACUACUGGAAACGGUAGCUAAUACCGCAUACCAUCGGAUGUGCCCAGAUGGGAUUGGCUAGUAGGUGGGGUAAAGGCUCACGUAGGCGACGAUCCCUAGCUGGUCGGAGAGGAUGACGAGCCGCACUGGAACUGAGACACGGUCCAAGGUCACACGGAAGGGGGCAGUGGUGAAUAUUGAGCAAUGGGCGCAAGACAGAGGAAGCCAUGCCGAGUGUAUGAAGAAGGCAUUCGGGGUGUAAAGUAAUUUCAGCGGGGAGGCGUUACCCACAGAAGAAGCACCGGCUAACUCCGUGCCAGCCGCCGCGGUAAUAC
rnacentral:rRNA from 1 species